CCUAUAUUUAAUUAAUAAAAAUAAAUUUGUCUGUCCAUGAUUAUGUACAGAUUAACAAUGAGACAACAAUAUGGAAAGGUGCCAUUGUAUUCAAACGAACUGGAGUAGCAAAGGAUCUAAAGAAAAUCCCCAGCAUUGGGGUCAAAGUCUGAAAACCGAAAUCCUUGGUAUAGCAGAUCUGGUGCAGGAAAGUGCAAGAUGGUAUUGGACACGUUCUUCUAGGUCCCAGGUAACUAUGUAGCCAAGUGGUGAAAGACGUAUAGGCAGUCUGAUGGUAGUCACUUUGGAGGGGGGGAGAAAUAUGAAUAUUAUAAAUAAUAUAUAUACAAAAUUGUUAGAGUAUUUUUUAAGUAUCGCCUUUCCUGCAUCUGAGCGACACCAUGGAACCUCUGACGCUGGUAAUUAAGUGACAUUCUGUGAAAAACUACAAUAUGAUCCCUGCUAAUCAGUAUUUCUAUAAGGUACUCCAGUUCAAU